rnacentral:rRNA from 1 species
AUUGAACGCUGGCGGCAGGCCUAACACAUGCAAGUCGAACGGUAACAGGAAGAAGCUUGCUUCUUUGCUGACGAGUGGCGGACGGGUGAGUAAUGUCUGGGAAACUGCCUGAUGGAGGGGGAUAACUACUGGAAACGGUAGCUAAUACCGCAUAACUUCUCAAGACCAAAGAGGGGGACCUUGGGGCCUCUUUCGAUCGUAUUUGCCCAGGUGGGAUUAGCUAGUAGGUGGGGUAACGGCUCACCUAGGCGACGAUCCCUAGCUGGUCUGAGAGGAUGAUCAGCCACACUGGAACUGAGACACGGUCCAGACUCCUACGGGAGGCAGCAGUGGGGAAUAUUGCACAAUGGGCGCAAGCCUGAUGCAGCCAUGCCGCGUGUAUGAAGAAGGCCUUCGGGUUGUAAAGUACUUUCAGCGGGGAGGAAGGGAGUACAGUUAAUACCGUUGGUCAUUGACGGUACCCGCAGAAGAAGCACCGGCUAACUACGUG